GUCGAAGCUCCCUCGGAUAGGGGUCUCUCGUUUGGUUCUAGAGUGUACAUGUGUGAGGUUUAACGUGUUAUGGUUACCAUCUGGAAUGAUAUGGAUAGGCAUUAUGACUUUAGUUAGGGCACACUCCCCCCACCAUUGCCCAGUUAAUUGGGACCUCAAUUGUUUAUCACCACAUAACCAGUAGAUAUCACCGAUUGUCUUUGUGUGAUUCAUUAGUAGUGAUAUGGGUGGAUUAUGGUAGGUUGGGCAGUAUCCUGAUGGGAAUUUGCCCAGAUACAAACCGGUGUUCUUAGAUAUUGUGUAACAUGUGUAAUUACCUGGGUAGAUGGUGACUCCAUCAGGUGGUUUUACAUGUCCAUGAGUGAUCGGGUAAAUUCUCUUCCAUGAUUCACAUGUUGAGGAGUUGGUGAUGGACUGUGUGUAAAGACUCAGAACACAUGAUUCUACUUCAGGAGGUAAGUUCAGAGGAACUGUGCCCAGAUGGGGCCUGGCUCCUCCACACACGUAGCAAUUAGUCUUAUUGUGUGAGUUGGCAUUAUACCUCAUCCAUUCUAGCCACAAAUUAGUGUCUGAAAAACCAGUCUCCACUGCCAUAGUGUCUUCAAAGGUGGGGUUGGCUAUAGCUACCAUGUCAUGUAGGGUCUUAAUAUGUGGUUUUAAUGGGUUAACAACCAUGUGAGUGGUCCCUACCCAGUCUGGGGAGGUGAGCAUGUCUUGUAGGUAAAAUGUCCCCAGUGCAUUAUGUGAGCCACCUCCCUUCCAGUACAUCCCCAUCACAUAUUCCCCCGCGUCCCUUGGACUAGGGUGUUCUAUAUUCAGGGUAAGUUUAAUGGGAGUUGACCCUGUGGGUUUACUCAGAGUCAUUCUAGAAAGUAGGGGCUUCUCGUCUUUGUCAAGUCUAUCCAGUGCAACCUGAGGUCUGUAGCCCCAUGGUCUACCUGUAUUCCACCCGGCAGCUUUCCAUGAACUACAAUGGUGUCCCCAAGCUCCUCCAGUCACACAAAUGUAUGGGUCCUUUUUUGUUAGGUAUGUCUUUGUAUAUGGCUGCAUGUUGUGUCUGUGGGAAUGUACAGGUAACUAUGUCACAGUAAUCAAAGGUGUAUGUGGCUACAUCAGUAUUAGAAGAAUUGUACCAGAAAGUGUAAACAUGAUUAUCUUUGGUUAUGGCCACUUGUUGGGCCCAGGCAAAGUGCAACAACAUAAGAAAACACAAGACACAUAAUAAAUUCAUGUUUCAACAGGAUCAGCUUCUUCUGGAGCAGGCACUUUUUUGCAAUGUGAAGCGUGUAUCCAGGAACUUUUCCCAGC